rnacentral:rRNA from 1 species
ACGGAGGGUGCAAGCGUUAUCCGGAUUCACUGGGUUUAAAGGGUGCGUAGGCGGUUAGGUAAGUCAGUGGUGAAAUCCUGGAGCUCAACUCCAGAACUGCCAUUGAUACUAUUUAUCUUGAAUAUUGUGGGGGUAAGUGGAAUAUGUCGUGUAGCGGUGAAAUGCUUAGAUAUGACAUAGAACACCCAUUGCGAAGGCAGCUUACUACGCAUAUAUUGACGCUGAGGCACGAAAGCGUGGGGAUCAAACAGGAUUAGAUACCCUGGUAGUCCACGCCCUAAACUAUGGAUACUCGACAUAUGCGAUACACUGUAUGUGUCUGAGCGAAAGCAUUAAGUAUCCCACCUGGGAAGUACGUUCGCAAGAAUG